rnacentral:rRNA from 1 species
UACGAAGGGGGCUAGCGUUGUUCGGAUUUACUGGGCGUAAAGCGCGUGUAGGCGGGUCGUUAAGUUGGGGGUGAAAUCCCGAGGCUCAACCUCGGAACUGCCUUUCAUACUGGCAAUCUUGAGUCCGGGAGAGGUGAGUGGAACUCCUAGUGUAGAGGUGAAAUUCGUAGAUAUUAGGAAGAACACCGGUGGCGAAGGCGGCCCACUGGAUCGGUACUGACGCUGAGGUGCGAAAGCGUGGGGAGCAAACAGG